rnacentral:rRNA from 1 species
GACGAACGCUGGCGGCGUGCUUAACACAUGCAAGUCGAACGGAAAGGCCCUGCUUUUGUGGGGUGCUCGAGUGGCGAACGGGUGAGUAACACGUGAGUAACCUACCCUUGACUUUGGGAUAACUUCAGGAAACUGGGGCUAAUACCGGAUAGGAGCUCCUGCUGCAUGGUGGGGGUUGGAAAGUUUCGGCGGUUGGGGAUGGACUCGCGGCUUAUCAGCUUGUUGGUGGGGUAGUGGCUUACCAAGGCUUUGACGGGUAGCCGGCCUGAGAGGGUGACCGGCCACAUUGGGACUGAGAUACGGCCCAGACUCCUACGGGAGGCAGCAGUGGGGAAUAUUGCACAAUGGGCGGAAGCCUGAUGCAGCAACGCCGCGUGCGGGAUGACGGCCUUCGGGUUGUAAACCGCUUUCGCCUGUGACGAAGCGUGAGUGACGGUAAUGGGUAAAGAAGCACCGGCUAACUACGUGCCAGCAGCCGCGGUGAUACGUAGGGUGCGAGCGUUGUCCGGAUUUAUUGGGCGUAAAGGGCUCGUAGGUGGUUGAUCGCGUCGGAAGUGUAGUCUUGGGGCUUAACCCUGAGCGUGCUUUCGAUACGGGUUGACUUGAGGAAGGUAGGGGAGAAUGGAAUUCCUGGUGGAGCGGUGGAAUGCGCAGAUAUCAGGAGGAACACCAGUGGCGAAGGCGGUUCUCUGGGCCUUUCCUGACGCUGAGGAGCGAAAGCGUGGGGAGCGAACAGGCUUAGAUACCCUGGUAGUCCACGCUGUAAACGGUGGGUACUAGGUGUGGGGUCCAUUCCACGGGUUCCGUGCCGUAGCUAACGCUUUAAGUACCCCGCCUGGGGAGUACGGCCGCAAGGCUAAAACUCAAAGGAAUUGACGGGGCCCCGCACAAGCGGCGGAGCAUGCGGAUUAAUUCGAUGCAACGCGUAGAACCUUACCUGGGUUUGACAUGGAUCGGGAGUGCUCAGAGAUGGGUGUGCCUCUUUUGGGGUCGGUUCACAGGUGGUGCAUGGCUGUCGUCAGCUCGUGUCGUGAGAUGUUGGGUUAAGUCCCGCAACGAGCGCAACCCUUGUUCACUGUUGCCAGCACGUUAUGGUGGGGACUCAGUGGAGACCGCCGGGGUCAACUCGGAGGAAGGUGGGGAUGACGUCAAGUCAUCAUGCCCCUUAUGUCCAGGGCUUCACGCAUGCUACAAUGGCUGGUACAGAGAGUGGCGAGCCUGUGAGGGUGAGCGAAUCUCGGAAAGCCGGUCUCAGUUCGGAUUGGGGUCUGCAACUCGACCUCAUGAAGUCGGAGUCGCUAGUAAUCGCAGAUCAGCAACGCUGCGGUGAAUACGUUCCCGGGGCU